rnacentral:rRNA from 1 species
AGCAGCCGCGGUAAUUCCAGCUCCAAUAGCGUAUAUUAAAGUUGUUGCAGUUAAAAAGCUCGUAGUUGAAUUUCGGGAUUGGCGCAUCGGUCGUGCCUCACGGGGUAUGAACUGGUGCAGUCAAUUUCUCACCUUCUGGAGAACCGCGAUGUCCUUAAUUGGAUGCCGUGGGAACCAGGACCUUUUACUUUAGAAAAAAUUAGAGUUGUUUAAAGCAGGCUAUUUUUGCUU